CCUAUCCCAGAAGGGGUCCUCGGUCGGCUCGACUAGAAGACGAAGGGGGCGUCUCCCCUGCUUCCUGCGGCGUCGGAGGCGAGUUGAGGCGGAGGCAGGCUGCAGCUGCGAAGGCGUCAACGGUGGCGGCGGCGCCAUGGCAGGGCUCGCAGGAUCCCUGCUGCCUUGGUGAUCCCGGGCUGACAGCCAGAGACCACAGCGGCUCAGCUCCUGGAGAGCGAGGGUUGAAGAAAGCAGAGGGCAGCCGCCCGCGCCCGCUGGCUCCCAUUAGCUCUAGCAUCACCCUCAGAUGCCCUGGUACCCAGAACAGUAAUUGGACAAGGGGCAUGGUGACCCCAGGAUCUGGGUCAGUCCACAUCUUGGAGCAUGGCGGAAUCGUGGUGAUGGCUGCAGCCGCCUGGAAGCUGAACGUGGCAGGAACUGGCUGAGAGAUUUUUUUGCUGAUGGUGAAAUGUCCUGGCAGAGUCUAUGCAGCAACAGAGCAUCACCCUACAUCAUAGAGGAGGGAACAGAAACUGGAGAAGCAAGUGCCUUUCUGACAUAGAGCCCAAGUAGCAGGAGCUGGAUUCAACCUCACCCCAUCCAGGAUCACAGUGCUUCUUCCCAGGACCAGGCUGAGCUGAGAGGAAGAGGAAGAGGGGUCUGUGAGGUCCAGGUGGAGACACUCCGCAGGCACGUGCGGGAGGUUGGAGACAUGAUGUGUACAAGCUGGAGGUGUUGCUCUCAGCUUAGUGCGCCCUGUGGGACUCCUGGUGUAGCCGACGUGCUCUGCCGCAGUGUUCCUUGCAGCUGGCGACUGGCGGCCUUAGGAUUACACCAUGUUUGAUUUUCUUGUUUCCUAUUGAUUGACUAUUAAAAUGUUUCCAGUGUCGUUCCAUUAAGACAAACCUGUAAGAGCAUCUUAUAAUUGUUCAUUUUGCACAUGUACAAGUAUUUCUCCGGGAUAGAUACUUAGAAAUGGAACUGAUGGGUCAUAGGGUAUUCAUAUCUUAAAUUCUAAUAGAAAUUUCUAAAGUGUUCUCCAAAUUGCCUUCUAAUGUAAUCUCCUGCUAGCAGCGUGUGUGUGUCCAUUUCCCCAGACCAUGUCCAAGUUUUCCAUUUUUAACCAGUCUGAUGAGUGAGAAAUAGUAUCUUGCUUUAGUUGGCAUUUUUCUGAAUUACCUGCAAGACUGAAGUCUUCAUGUGUUUGCUGUCCGUUUUCAUUUCCUCCUCUGGAUUGCUUGUGCAUAUCCUUUGCCUGUUUCUUUUUUUUUUUUUUUUUAAGGUUUUUUUUGUCUUUUUGCUAUUGAUUUUUAAGAGUUCUUUAUUUGAAUAUUAAUACUUUGUCAUGUAUAUUGCAGAUGUUUUCUACAUUGUGAUUUGUGUCAUUUCAUUGUGUAGUAUCUUUUUGUCUUAGAGAAAUUUUAACUUUGAUACGAUCAAAGUUGCUAAUCUUACAUUUAGGCCAUUUUUACAGUCUUAUUUAAGAAAGUGUUCCCUGUAUCAAGGUCAUAAGUAUUUACUGUAUUUCCUUCUCUAAAAUUUAUAGUUUCUGUAUACAUACGUAUUUAAGCCCUUAUACUAUAUACAAACAAUAAAUUCCAUAUGCACGAAUCUUAGGAUCUAACUUUAAUUCCUCCCCAUUCCCCCCAAAUGGAUAGGUAAUUGUCCCAACACCAUUUAUGGAAUAAUAUAUCAUUUCUCCACUGAUUUAAAACUGCUGCCUCUGCCUGACACUAAAUUCCAAUGCGGGUCUAUGUCAGAGCUCUUUCUGGUCCACUGAUCUAUUUGUCUACUCCUGAGCUUGAUAAUAUGCUUUGCUAACUGGCAGGACAAAUCCCACCCUCUUUGUUGUUUUUGUAAAAUUGCCUUGAUCAUCCUUGCAUAUUUGUCCCACCACAUGAAUUUUAAAAUAGCCUGUCAAGUUUCAGGAAAAAUUCUGCUGGGAUUUUAAUUGGGAUCACAUUGAGUUUUAGGUAAGUUUGAAGAAAAUUGGCACCUUUAUCAUAUUUGAGUCUUCUGCCAAUGCUCGUUGCUAUUAUCUCUCAGUUCCGGUCACUCUCAUGUCUUUCAGGGAAGUUUUAUGGUUUUCUCUAAAGUCUUGCAUAUUUCUUGAUAAAUUUAUUCCUAGGUUUAUUACAGGUUUUGUUGUCAACUGUGAAUAGGGUCUCCUCUCCCUUUAUUUGUUUGGCCCUUGUUUUUCCAUAUUUCAUUUCAACCUGUUUACCCAUCAGUGGGCUUGACUUGCAGACACACACGCAAAGUGAACAUUCUUCCUCCGGGGGCACAAAUAUGCAAGCACCACCAAACACACAGAGCCGGCAUAAUUGCCUGGAAACAAAUUAGAAUCUUUUCAGAUUAUACUUUAAUUAAUGAAGUAAAGCAUGAAUACAUUUUUCUUUUGAAAGUAGGACAAUAUGAAUGUAACUAAAGUUUCCUUUCGCCACCCUCUGAAAUCCUAGUUUCCCUCCCUCCCUCACAGUUUUAUGUGUCUCCUUCCAUAGAAAUGUAAGUAUCGAUGGAGGUAUUUUGAAUGAAUCAUCCCACUCUAGAAAAGAUUUUACUGUAAGCUGUGUUUUUUCAUUCCAUCUUAUAUUUCUAAGAUAUACUGAUACAAAUAGCUCUUGCCAGUUCCUUUUAGUAGCUGUGUUAUAUUCAUUCCCAUGAAUGUGCUACAUUUUUCCUUCCUAAGAUCCAUGGACAUCUAGUUGCAUCCUUUUCUUUCCUCCAUCAUAAGCAGCGCCACAGAAAACAGCCUUACACGUGCCUCUUCUGUAAUGUUUCUCUAGGGUAGUGACUGAGAAGUGGAAUUUGUGUUCUCAGCGUUUCCACAUUUUUAGUUUUAGACGUUACCAAAGUGUCCUCCAUAAUUUCUGUACCAUUUAAACUUCUAGCCAGAGGGUAUGGGAGGACUCCCCACACCAUAAGCGAUUGUUUUAAAUGUUUGCCAAUUUGCUGGGUGAAAAAUUGAAUCAUUUUUUAAAGUUUAUACAUACCUGUUUGCUAGUGAGAUUUUCAUAUGUGUUUUAGGCAUUUGUAUUUUCUCUUUUCUGAAUGAUCUGUUUAUUUUUGCUCAUUGAAAAAAUUAGGUUGUUUGUCUUUAUCUUAUUGAUUUUUGAGUUUCCUAAUAUAAUCUGGAUAUUAAUCUUGUGUGUGUGUGUGUGUGUGUGUGUGUGUGUGUGUGUAUAUAUAUAUAUAUAUAUGGCAAAUGUUUUCUUCCAGCUUGUCUGUUGCCUUCAAAUUUUGUAGGGGCUUUUGUUAGACAGACGUUAUCAAUUUUGACAUAAUCAAAUUUAUCCAUCUUUUCCUUUAUUCCUUGUAUUUAUAUAUCAUGUUUAGACCUUUCUUACUCCUAAGGUUUAAGUAUACUCUGUAUUCCUUUCUAGUAAUUUUGUUUUUAUUUGGGUCUUGAAUGCAGCUGGAAUGUAUGUUUAUGAUUGAAAUGAGAUAUGAUCUAACCUUUCUGCAAACAUACAGCUGAUUAUUGCAACAUGACGGACUGUCUAGUUCCUUCUCUCUCCACUGAUCUGAAGUGAAACUCCCUCAUAUACUGAAUUGCCAUGUCUAGGUAGGUCUGAGGCGCUGGUUCUCCUUCACCGGUCUAUAUAUUUCUGUCUUCAUCAGACUGUUUUAUCCGCUCUAGCUUGAGACCACCUUUUGAUAUCUGUUAAGUAAAAUGCUCCAUUUCAUUGUGCUUCCUGUUCAGUUAACUCAGCUAACUAUUACUGCACGUUAACUCCUCCACAUGAAUUUUAAAACCCGCUUGUCAAGUUCUGUGAAUUUAAAGAUUAAUUUGGGGAAAAUCAACAUCAAUACAAUCCUGAGUCUUUCAAUCCAUGAACACAGUAUAGCCCUACACUCAUUCUGAUCAUCUUGUCUGCCCUUUAGUCCCAUUUUAUGGUCUUCUCCGUAACGAACCUACCAAUUUCCUGAUGGGUUUAUUCCUAUAGUUUUUAUUGUUGUUGUGAAUGAGUUCUCUCUGCACCCCCUGUUUUGUUUUUCUUUUGCUUGCUACAUUUUUUUUUUAAUCCACUAAUCACUGUACUUCAUUCAUAGACACACACAAAGUAAACGUUCUUCCUUCCUGGACACAGACGUGCAAGCACUGCCAAACACACAGAGCUGGCAUAAUUGGCUGAAAAUGAAUGGGAAUUUUUUCAAAUUAAAGUUUAAUGACACAAGCGCAACAUGAAUAUAUUCUCCUUUUUAAGAAAUAGAACAUUGCAGAUGAAUCUAAAGUCCCUUUUGGCCACCCACUGCCAUCCCAUUUCCUUCUUACCCAGAGGCUGCUACUGUAAUGGGCCCAAUGUACACCUUUCUAGACUUUCUAAAAAUUUGUAAAUGCAUAGGUAGGUACCCACAGGAAGUUACAUGGUAUAGUUGUCUCAAAUAACGAGAAUUUUAUCUUUUCCUUUUCACUUUUCAUUGAUACUCAAUUUUUGUAUUGACCUGGAUUUUAUUAUGGUUACAGAACGGAAUGUCAGUAUUAUCAUCCAUCACGAUGUGAUGACCAGUGACCUUCUGUAGCCAAACCAUAGGCAGAUGUGAAAGUAAAGAUGUAGAAACUGGGAGAUAGCAGUGGAGGGAAGGGGUCGGAGGACUGACAGGGACGGUAAUGGGAGGCACAGGAGCGUCUGUGGACACACAGUGGAGUCAGGAGUGAAGGGGCAAAUAGGUUUCUUAAAAUUAAAAAGAUAACCAACAGAGGUACUUGACAACUGUGGUGGGAGAAGCAGGGAUGGAGGGGAGUAGUUUCCAAGUGACCCAAAGCCUAAUCUGCCACAUGGGAUAUCAGUGGGUCUUAUGAACUAUUUAGAAAUAGGGUAUCCUAGAUGCUGGUCAGAAAACUCUCAUGACCCGAUUUUGACUAGGAUCUUGUGGACGUUGUCAGGCAGCUUCAAGGAAGCACUUUCCUCCCUGGUUAAAGAGAUGCAUCUGGAGAGCUUUAUUGGUCCUGCCCCUUCCUUUCU